UAGGGAUUUUCCUGCUAUUUAUAGGAGUCUAGAUGAAAACUGCAUCUUUUUUGUUUUUAUUCGCAUAAAGUAGAGUCUUAUCUUAAUAUUUAAAGAAAAAAAUGUGCAUUCAUUUUUAGAAAAAAAAAAUUGUGAGACUUUUUAAUAGGGGGAGAUAACUCCCAAAACAUCCAGUUUUCACAUGUGCAGAAUUGCAUGAGUCAAUUAGCAGGUAAUGUAGCUCUUUCAAGAGGUGGAAAAUGUACCCUGAAAGCACACUAAAAGAAAACCUUAGGACUUGUUCUGUGAAAUGCAUGCAACUUAUUUUGUCUGAUUUUUUCUGUUUUUGUUGAGCAGGGGGGUUAAAAAUGCAUAGGUGCACUGAAAAUGGAUGCAUAAACAACCCAAUAUCCCCCUUAUUUCAGGUGUCAAAUACCCCCUAGUAGUAAUUGAUGAAUGUAUUAUAGUUGGAUAUUUACAAAAUUCACAAUUUUAUCUUUCCAUUGAUAUGCAGAAGUCUAUGUAACAAGCCUCCAUUUUAUUUUUUUAUAGGGGUCAGUUUUGCAUGUCCCUCACCAAGUAACGUCCUGAUAACGUCAUACAUAAAACUGUGUUUUGCACCCUUAAGGAGUAGCAUUUGAUGACAUUUCCCACAUUUAUUUGCCUGUAAGUUCAUAGAAAAUUGCUUUAUUUGUUUUAAAUUAUGUAGUAAACCAUACAAUAUAAUCUCAGGUUGACACUGUGUAAGGCAUAAUGCCUAUUAGAUACAUGUUCCAUAGAAUUUAUACAUAUGAUAAGGAUUCAGGGGCUAAAGUUGUUAUUUUACAUUAUGACGCAACUGCAUUGUGACAUCAAAGUGUGACGUCAUGUCAAAAAUGGAAGCUUCGCAAGGUCAUGACCUUCAAUUUAAUUGAUCGCAAAUGAGAAUAUGUAUCUUCUGUAUAGAUAUACAUGUGACAUAGACCUAUUGAGUAUCUAGUUAGGGUGACACCAUCCAGAUUUUUUAGGCAAUCUUCUGAUUUAAGACAGUGACUAUUUCCAAUUAGACCCCCCCCCCCCCCCCUUGUUUAUACAGAAACUAGCAAUAUCUGUAAAAAUUGUUUGGCAGCUUUUCAAAAAAUUUAUAAUGUAACAUUUUAUUGAUAUUCAAAUACUGUAUAUUUCAUACUUUGUGUUUUUUAAAUUGAAGAAAAAUAAAAUUAUUGUGUGAGCUGAUUCGGUUAGGUUUGAAUUUCUCUUCGAAGUCCUGUUUUAUGCGUCGACUAAUGUCGUAGACAUGUAAUACUAAAUUUACAAUAACUUGCCCAUUUCUGGACCAAAUUCAACAAUUUAUGCACCAAAAUGUUUGGAAUUCUGUCCUCUUUGCACCUAAAUACAAAAAAGUGAAUUGCAAAAAAAAAUUAUUUCCUUUAAGGUAGCUAAACACAGUUUCGUAUAAAAUCCAGGGGGUUUUUCCCAGAGAGAAGCAUGCUGGGUAGGGAUUUUCCUGCUAUUUAUAGGAGUCUAGAUGAAAACUGCAUCUUUUUUGUUUUUAUUCGCAUAAAGUAGAGUCUUAUCUUAAUAUUUAAAGAAAAAAAUGUGCAUUCAUUUUUAGAAAAAAAAAAUUGUGAGACUUUUUAAUAGGGGGAGAUAACUCCCAAAACAUCCAGUUUUCACAUGUGCAGAAUUGCAUGAGUCAAUUAGCAGGUAAUGUAGCUCUUUCAAGAGGUGGAAAAUGUACCCUGAAAGCACACUAAAAGAAAACCUUAGGACUUGUUCUGUGAAAUGCAUGCAACUUAUUUUGUCUGAUUUUUUCUGUUUUUGUUGAGCAGGGGGGUUAAAAAUGCAUAGGUGCACUGAAAAUGGAUGCAUAAACAACCCAAUAUCCCCCAUAUUUCAGGUGUCAAAUACCCCCUAGUAGUAAUUGAUGAAUGUAUUAUAGUUGGAUAUUUACAAAAUUCACAAUUUUAUCUUUCCAUUGAUAUGCAGAAGUCUAUGUAACAAGCCUCCAUUUUAUUUUUUUAUAGGGGUCAGUUUUGCAUGUCCCUCACCAAGUAACGUCCUGAUAACGUCAUACAUAAAACUGUGUUUUGCACCCUUAAGGAGUAGCAUUUGAUGACAUUUCCCACAUUUAUUUGCCUGGGUCAGUUUUGCAUGUCCCUCACCAAGUAACGUCCUGAUAACGUCAUACAUAAAACUGUGUUUUGCACCCUUAAGGAGUAGCAUUUGAUGACAUUUCCCACAUUUAUUUGCCUGGGUCAGUUUUGCAUGUCCCUCACCAAGUAACGUCCUGAUAACGUCAUACAUAAAACUGUGUUUUGCACCCUUAAGGAGUAGCAUUUGAUGACAUUUCCCACAUUUAUUUGCCUGGGUCAGUUUUGCAUGUCCCCACCAAGUAACGUCCUGAUAACGUCAUACAUAAAACUGUGUUUUGCACCCUUAAGGAGUAGCAUUUGAUGACAUUUCCCACAUUUAUUUGCCUGGGUCAGUUUUGCAUGUCCCUCACCAAGUAACGUCCUGAUAACGUCAUACAUAAAACUGUGUUUUGCACCCUUAAGGAGUAGCAUUUGAUGACAUUUCCCACAUUUAUUUGCCUGGGUCAGUUUUGCAUGUCCCUCACCAAGUAACGUCCUGAUAACGUCAUACAUAAAACUGUGUUUUGCACCCUUAAGGAGUAGCAUUUGAUGACAUUUCCCACAUUUAUUUGCCUGGGUCAGUUUUGCAUGUCCCUCACCAAGUAACGUCCUGAUAACGUCAUACAUAAAACUGUGUUUUGCACCCUUAAGGAGUAGCAUUUGAUGACAUUUCCCACAUUUAUUUGCCUGGGUCAGUUUUGCAUGUCCCUCACCAAGUAACGUCCUGAUAACGUCAUACAUAAAACUGUGUUUUGCACCCUUAAGGAGUAGCAUUUGAUGACAUUUCCCACAUUUAUUUGCCUGUAAGUUCAUAGAAAAUUGCUUUAUUUGUUUUAAUUUAUGUAGUAAACCAUACAAUAUAAUCUCAGGUUGACACUGUGUAAGGCAUAAUGCCUAUUAGAUACAUGUUCCAUAGAAUUUAUACAUAUGAUAAGGAUUCAGGGGCUAAAGUUGUUAUUUUACAUUAUGACGCAACUGCAUUGUGACAUCAAAGUGUGAUGUCAUGUCAAAAAUGGAAGCUUCGCAAGGUCAUGACCUUCAAUUUAAUUGAUCGCAAAUGAGAAUAUGUAUCUUCUGUAUAGAUAUACAUGUGACAUAGACCUAUUGAGUAUCUAGUUAGUGUGACACCAUCCAGAUGUUUUAGGCAAUCUUCUGAUUUAAGACAGUGACUAUUUCCAAUUAGACCCCCCCCCCCCCUUGUUUAUACAGAAACUAGCAAUAUCUGUAAAAAUUGUUUGGCAGCUUUUCAAAAAAUUUAUAAUGUAACAUUUUAUUGAUAUUCAAAUACUGUAUAUUUCAUACUUUGUGUUUUUUAAAUUGAAGAAAAAUAAAAUUAUUGUGUGAGCUGAUUCGGUUAGGUUUGAAUUUCUCUUCGAAGUCCUGUUUUAUGCGUCGACUAAUGUCGUAGACAUGUAAUACUAAAUUUACAAUAACUUGCCCAUUUCUGGACCAAAUUCAACAAUUUAUGCACCAAAAUGUUUGGAAUUCUGUCCUCUUUGCACCUAAAUACAAAAAAGUGAAUUGCAAAAAAAAAUUAUUUCCUUUAAGGAGUAGCAUUUGAUGACAUUUCCCACAUUUAUUUGCCUGGGUCAGUUUUGCAUGUCCCUCACCAAGUAACGUCCUGAUAACGUCAUACAUAAAACUGUGUUUUGCACCCUUAAGGAGUAGCAUUUGAUGACAUUUCCCACAUUUAUUUGCCUGGGUCAGUUUUGCAUGUCCCUCACCAAGUAACGUCCUGAUAACGUCAUACAUAAAACUGUGUUUUGCACCCUUAAGGAGUAGCAUUUGAUGACAUUUCCCACAUUUAUUUGCCUGUAAGUUCAUAGAAAAUUGCUUUAUUUGUUUUAAUUUAUGUAGUAAACCAUACAAUAUAAUCUCAGGUUGACACUGUGUAAGGCAUAAUGCCUAUUAGAUACAUGUUCCAUAGAAUUUAUACAUAUGAUAAGGAUUCAGGGGCUAAAGUUGUUAUUUUACAUUAUGACGCAACUGCAUUGUGACAUCAAAGUGUGACGUCAUGUCAAAAAUGGAAGCUUCGCAAGGUCAUGACCUUCAAUUUAAUUGAUCGCAAAUGAGAAUAUGUAUCUUCUGUAUAGAUAUACAUGUGACAUAGACCUAUUGAGUAUCUAGUUAGGGUGACACCAUCCAGAUGUUUUAGGCAAUCUUCUGAUUUAAGACAGUGACUAUUUCCAAUUAGACCCCCCCCCCCCCCUUGUUUAUACAGAAACUAGCAAUAUCUGUAAAAAUUGUUUGGCAGCUUUUCAAAAAAUUUAUAAUGUAACAUUUUAUUGAUAUUCAAAUACUGUAUAUUUCAUACUUUGUGUUUUUUAAAUUGAAGAAAAAUAAAAUUAUUGUGUGAGCUGAUUCGGUUAGGUUUGAAUUUCUCUUCGAAGUCCUGUUUUAUGCGUCGACUAAUGUCGUAGACAUGUAAUACUAAAUUUACAAUAACUUGCCCAUUUCUGGACCAAAUUCAACAAUUUAUGCACCAAAAUGUUUGGAAUUCUGUCCUCUUUGCACCUAAAUACAAAAAAGUGAAUUGCAAAAAAAAAUUAUUUCCUUUAAGGUAGCUAAACACAGUUUCGUAUAAAAUCCAGGGGGUUUUUCCCAGAGAGAAGCAUGCUGGGUAGGGAUUUUCCUGCUAUUUAUAGGAGUCUAGAUGAAAACUGCAUCUUUUUUGUUUUUAUUCGCAUAAAGUAGAGUCUUAUCUUAAUAUUUAAAGAAAAAAAUGUGCAUUCAUUUUUAGAAAAAAAAAAUUGUGAGACUUUUUAAUAGGGGGAGAUAACUCCCAAAACAUCCAGUUUUCACAUGUGCAGAAUUGCAUGAGUCAAUUAGCAGGUAAUGUAGCUCUUUCAAGAGGUGGAAAAUGUACCCUGAAAGCACACUAAAAGAAAACCUUAGGACUU